CUCGGACACGGGAGUUUGAGUCCUGCAAAUCAACAACGUCAGCGCCAUGCUGGUCCUCGCCCGGCCGGUGACGGGCCCCCGGGAGUACGUGCUGGACCUGGAGAUGGUCACCAUGAAUUCCCUCAUGAGCUACCGGGCCAGCUCUGUACUGAGGCUCACCGUCUUUGUAGGGGCCUACACCUUCUGAGGAGCAGGAGGGAGCCACCCUCCCUGCAGCUACCCUAGCUGAGGAGCCUGUUGUGAGGGGCAGAAUGAGAAAGGCAAUAAAGGGAGAAAGAAAGUCCUGGUGGCUGAGGUGGGCGGGUCACACUGCAGGAAGCCUCAGGCUGGGGCAGGGUGGCACUUGGGGGGGCAGGCCAAGUUCACCUAAAUGGGGGUCUCUAUAUGUUCAGGCCCAGGGGCCCCCAUUGACAGGAGCUGGGAGCUCUGCACCACGAGCUUCAGUCACCCCGAGAGGAGAGGAGGUAACGAGGAGGGCGGACUCCAGGCCCCGGCCCAGAGAUUUGGACUUGGCUGGCUUGCAGGGGUCCUAAGAAACUC
rnacentral:lncRNA from 1 species